rnacentral:rRNA from 1 species
UCACGGGCGGUGCCUAAUACAUGCAAGUCGAGCGGACAGAAGGGAGCUUGCUCCCGGAUGUUAGCGGCGGACGGGUGAGUAACACGUGGGUAACCUGCCUGUAAGACUGGGAUAACUCCGGGAAACCGGAGCUAAUACCGGAUAGUUCCUUGAACCGCAUGGUUCAAGGAUGAAAGACGGUUUCGGCUGUCACUUACAGAUGGACCCGCGGCGCAUUAGCUAGUUGGUGAGGUAACGGCUCACCAAGGCGACGAUGCGUAGCCGACCUGAGAGGGUGAUCGGCCACACUGGGACUGAGACACGGCCCAGACUCCUACGGGAGGCAGCAGUAGGGAAUCUUCCGCAAUGGACGAAAGUCUGACGGAGCAACGCCGCGUGAGUGAUGAAGGUUUUCGGAUCGUAAAGCUCUGUUGUUAGGGAAGAACAAGUGCAAGAGUAACUGCUUGCACCUUGACGGUACCUAACCAGAAAGCCACGGCUAACUACGUGCCAGCAGCCGCGGUAAUACGUAGGUGGCAAGCGUUGUCCGGAAUUAUUGGGCGUAAAGGGCUCGCAGGCGGUUUCUUAAGUCUGAUGUGAAAGCCCCCGGCUCAACCGGGGAGGGUCAUUGGAAACUGGGAAACUUGAGUGCAGAAGAGGAGAGUGGAAUUCCACGUGUAGCGGUGAAAUGCGUAGAGAUGUGGAGGAACACCAGUGGCGAAGGCGACUCUCUGGUCUGUAACUGACGCUGAGGAGCGAAAGCGUGGGGAGCGAACAGGAUUAGAUACCCUGGUAGUCCACGCCGUAAACGAUGAGUGCUAAGUGUUAGGGGGUUUCCGCCCCUUAGUGCUGCAGCUAACGCAUUAAGCACUCCGCCUGGGGAGUACGGUCGCAAGACUGAAACUCAAAGGAAUUGACGGGGGCCCGCACAAGCGGUGGAGCAUGUGGUUUAAUUCGAAG